GGAAAGCGCCUCCAAACGCCGGCCAAAGCUGAGCCUGUGACUGUCGCAGGUCACGCCCCUGGCUGGUGUGGUCAUGGCCAGCUCGGCCCCAGGGCUGCAGCGCCUCUGAGUCCUGGGAAUACUCCUUGACUGUAUCUCGGGAUAAGCAAUCUGUGGGCACUAGUGUUUGCCCUCUCACAUGGUCUCCUGUAGCUGCAAGGGAGUCAGGCCAGAGAAAGCGUUGCCAAGCUCAUGAUGCAGAAAUGAAGCAAAGUGCUGCAAAUGGCAGACUCCCCUCCGGCGUACCUGAUGCUACGGUUCCUUGUCCACCUGCUCUCCCCAGACUCUUCA
rnacentral:lncRNA from 1 species